CCUCCCUCCAACGCCGGAAAAGCCAGGUAUUCACAGUUCUAGGGAUAGGAGCGUAGGAUUCACUUGCACUACGGCGGGAUUCCUGUAGAAGAACAAAAGCUAGCAGAUACUACAACCACGAUAGCAGCGAUGGGCGUGCAUGACCGAUGGCCUCUCGUUCUCCUUGACGUUAAUGGCCAUGAUGUACCUCGGAUGUGAUUUCCAGGCGUCAGCACAGUCUCAGAACCUUCAGGACAUCUUGCAAGGUCUCCAGCAAAACAUUGGAAACACUACAAGCAUUG
rnacentral:lncRNA from 1 species